CAGCCGCCACGGUAAUACGUAGGUGGCAAGCGUUGUCCGGAAUUAUUGGGCGUAAAGGGCUCGCAGGCGGUUUCUUAAGUCUGAUGUGAAAGCCCCCGGCUCAACCAGGGAGGGUCAUUGGAAACUGGGAAACUUGAGUGCAGAAGAGGAGAGUGGAAUUCCACGUGUAGCGGUGAAAUGCGUAGAGAUGUGGAGGAACACCAGUGGCGAAGGCGACUCUCUGGUCUGUAACUGACGCUGAGGAGCGAAAGCGUGGGGAGCGAACAGGAUUAGAUACCCGUGUAGUCCCUGUCUCUUAUAC
rnacentral:rRNA from 1 species